rnacentral:misc_RNA from 1 species
GGAGGGAUAUCAAUGAGCUCACUCUCCAGCUGAAAAUACUAACAAAAUGGUGCGUGCCACGGGAAUACUUGCUUUCUUAUCUUUGCUUUGCCUUCAUGCUUUUCUACUUACUGUCCUUGCUAGAGAUGUGGCCACCGUAGAGAAUGAUGAGAAGUUUUUGGGUAUUGGAAAGGGUGGUGGCUUUGGUGGCGGAGCUGGUGGGGGUGGUGGCUUUGGUGGCGGAGCUGGUGG